rnacentral:rRNA from 1 species
AGAAACUCAAAUGAAUUGACGGGGCCCGCACAAGCGGUGGAGUAUGUGGUUUAAUUCGAUGCAACGCGAAGAACCUUACCUGGUCUUGACAUCCCGGAGACCCUUAGGAAACUAGGGGUGCUUCCAUCUGGAAGAAUCUGGAGACAGGUGCUGCAUGGCUGUCGUCAGCUCGUGUCGUGAGAUGUUGGGUUAAGUCCCGCAACGAGCGCAACCCUUGCCUUUAGUUGCCAGCAGUUCGGCUGGGCACUCUAAAGGGACUGCCGGUGUUAAACCGGAGGAAGGUGGGGAUGACGUCAAGUCCUCAUGGCCUUUAUGACCAGGGCUACACACGUACUACAAUGGCCGAUACAAAGGGCAGCGACACUGCGAGGUGAAGCCAAUCCCGUAAAAUCGGUCUCAGUCCGGAUUGGAGUCUGCAACUCGACUCCAUGAAGUUGGAAUCGCUAGUAAUCGUGGAUCAGCAUGCCACGGUGAAUACGUUCCCGGGCCUU